GUCUUGCUGUCAAUUCUUUGUGUCUCUUGUCCCUUUCAUUCGCCAUUCCCCCUUCUAGGGUCUCUGCUGAAGAUCCCGGUGGCGGGACAACUGGCGCCCAGUGUGAGGUUCUGGGACAUGGAGGAAUGGUGAACAUCAUCACACACCAAGGCAGGCCUGCCUAAGAGUUGGACCACCAUGGAAGACAGCUCCACGAGUGAAGGUCCAGUCUGAUCACCACAGAAGCUCCCGGCCGUGAGACAGAUCCAGAGGAAUUGUAACAUGACGACACAAGAUGCUGAUGAAGAAAAAACUGGGAAAAUUUCCCUGGAUAUUCUGGAUCUUGCUGCUGUCUGUACCUUCUUAUCAAGACCAGAGACCGGUCAACACAUCCCCAUUUGUAUGGUGCUUUUAUUUGACUGAAAAUUAUACCAAUUAUGCUAAAACACAGACCUUUGGCCACCUAUUGGCUACCACUGAUUGCCCCUUGCAAGGAAGGAUGUCAGAAUCCCAUUUUACUCAACUUUACUGAUUUCCAUAAUUCCCCCGGCAAGGUGGCUCCUGCGAUCUGUUUUUUGUACUAUCAGACUGACCACAAUCGAACCUGUCACUCUGGUCCCACAAAUUAUGCUCAGGACCCCUGCAGAGUUCUUGGGAUGGGACACCCCCCUGCCCAAGUCAAAAAGAGCUGUCUUCUUACCCCUUGUGGCCAGAAUUUCCCUCGCCACCUCUCUGGUCUCUGCAGGCUUGACAGGAGGAGUUCUGGGUCAUUCCCUCAUAACAACAGCUCACCUAUCCAAGCAACUUCAGGUAGCAAUUGAGGCUUCUGCAGCAUCCCUGUCCUCCCUUCAGAGGCCGUUAACCUCUCUCGCACAGGUUGCCCUACAAAACCGACGGGCCUUGGACCUGCUGACAGCAGAAAAGGGUGGGACAUGCCUUUUUCUGAGGGAAGAAUGUUGUUAUUACAUUAAUGAGUCUGGAAUGGUAGAAACCCAGAUAAAUAAGCUACACAAACUUAGCCUAGAGCUACAUAAGCAGCAAUUCUCUGCUGCAGCAGAUAAUUGGGGGAGAUCAUUCAUGUUCUCCCUUUUAAUGCCUCUUGCAGGACCAUUAGUCAGCCUUUUGUUAUUUGUAACUUUGGGUCCCUUUAUAAUUGGCAGGCUAAUCCAAUUCAUCAAAAAA